UCAGGAUGAACGCUGGCGGCGUGCCUAACACAUGCAAGUCGAACGAGCGAGAGAUGAAACCUAGUGAUUCUCGAGCGAGUGGCGGACGGGUGAGUAACGCGUGGGUAACCUGCCUUACAGAGGGGGAUAACAGUUUGAAAAGACUGCUAAUACCGCAUAAGCACACAGUACCGCAUGGUACAGGGUGAAAAGAUUUAUCACUGUAAGAUGGACCCGCGUCUGAUUAGCCAGUUGGCAGGGUAACGGCCUACCAAAGCGACGAUCAGUAGCCGACCUGAGAGGGUGAUCGGCCACAUUGGGACUGAGACACGGCCCAAACUCCUACGGGAGGCAGCAGUGGGGGAUAUUGCACAAUGGAGGAAACUCUGAUGCAGCGAACCGCCGCGUGAGUGAAGAAGUAUUUCGGUAUGUAAAGCUCUAUCAGCAGGGAAGAUAAUGACAGUACCUGACCAAGAAGCCCCGGCUAACUACGUGCCAGCAGCGGC
rnacentral:rRNA from 1 species